GACAGAGGGUGCAAACGUUGUUCGGAAUUACUGGGCGUAAAGCGCACGUAGGCGGCUUUGCAAGUUAGAGGUGAAAGCCCGGGGCUCAACUCCGGAAUUGCCUUUAAAACUGCAUCGCUAGAAUUGUGGAGAGGUAAGUGGAAUUCCGAGUGUAGAGGUGAAAUUCGUAGAUAUUCGGAAGAACACCAGUGGCGAAGGCGACUUACUGGACACAUAUUGACGCUGAGGUGCGAAAGCGUGGGGAGCAAACAGGG
rnacentral:rRNA from 1 species